rnacentral:rRNA from 1 species
GGGAAUUUUCCGCAAUGGGCGAAAGCCUGACGGAGCAAUGCCGCGUGGAGGUGGAAGGCCUACGGGUCGUCAACUUCUUUUCUCGGAGAAGAAACAAUGACGGUAUCUGAGGAAUAAGCAUCGGCUAACUCUGUGCCCAG